rnacentral:rRNA from 1 species
GAUGAACGCUAGCUACAGGCUUAACACAUGCAAGUCGAGGGGAAACGAUAGAGAAAGCUUGCUUUUUCUAGGCGUCGACCGGCGCACGGGUGAGUAACGCGUAUCCAACCUGCCCACCACUUGGGGAUAACCUUGCGAAAGUAAGACUAAUACCCAAUGACGUCUCUAGAAGGCAUCUGAAAGGGAUUAAAGAUUUAUCGGUGAUGGAUGGGGAUGCGUCUGAUUAGCUUGUUGGCGGGGUAACGGCCCACCAAGGCAACGAUCAGUAGGGGUUCUGAGAGGAAGGUCCCCCACAUUGGAACUGAGACACGGUCCAAACUCCUACGGGAGGCAGCAGUGAGGAAUAUUGGUCAAUGGGCGAGAGCCUGAACCAGCCAAGUAGCGUGCAGGAUGACGGCCCUAUGGGUUGUAAACUGCUUUUAUAAGGGAAUAAAGUGAGCCUCGUGAGGCUUUUUGCAUGUACCUUAUGAAUAAGGACCGGCUAAUUCCGUG